AGUGGAGGGUUCAUAGAAGAGAGUGGCCAUUAGAUAACCCUUAAGAAUCUCGCUUCCCAUCGAGUUCUUCUCAAUUUUCUCCAUCUCCUGCGCCACUUCAAAUAUGGCACUGAGAGUAUCUCUAUCAAACUGCUGGGCUUCAAUUACAUCAUCAAUCUGAAACUUACUCCCCACCAUAGUUAAAGACUUAUUUUUCACCUCUAAUGCUCUGCAUUGGAAUCCUCCCCUAUUUGUUGGCAGGCUUCAAUUACAUCAUCAAGCUGAAACUUACUCCCCACCAUAGUUAAAGACUUAUUUUUCACCUCUAAUGCUCUGCAUUGGAAUCCUCCCCUAUUUGUUGGCAUAACGCAUUGAUUUCCGCACUUUUUAAACAAUUCAACUGCGAAUGGCAACUUCGAUUUUGACAAGUCGGCAAGUAAACAAGUAGGUUUACAGUGCACGGGUUGCUUUAACCAUAAAUUAUUGCCUCCAAAGUUAGAAUAACUCAUUCUUGGAGGUGGCACAAGUAUUUUCCCAUGGAAUACAUGUGAAGAAAAUGUUGAGGAAAUAGCCAUCAACAAUAAUCAGGAUCACUCACCUGCAACAAAAAAGGGUUAAUUUAGAAGCUACACCAGUUGAAUAUUACACCACAUCAAGCUUGCAUAACAAAGCUAGACUAUGCAGAGUCAGGAAACAAAGAAGUAAACAACCAAUUCAAGAAACAUUAAAGUAAGCUUAGAACAGCAAAUAAAACACAUAAGUUAU
rnacentral:lncRNA from 1 species